rnacentral:rRNA from 1 species
AGUGAACGCUGGCGGUAGGCCUAACACAUGCAAGUCGAACGGCAGCACAGUAAGAGCUUGCUCUUACGGGUGGCGAGUGGCGGACGGGUGAGGAAUACAUCGGAAUCUACUUUUUCGUGGGGGAUAACGUAGGGAAACUUACGCUAAUACCGCAUACGACCUACGGGUGAAAGCAGGGGAUCUUCGGACCUUGCGCGAUUGAAUGAGCCGAUGUCGGAUUAGCUAGUUGGCGGGGUAAAGGCCCACCAAGGCGACGAUCCGUAGCUGGUUUGAGAGGGUGAUCAGCCACACUGGAACUGAGACACGGUCCAGACUCCUACGGGAGGCAGCAGUGGGGAAUAUUGGACAAUGGGCGCAAGCCUGAUCCAGCCAUACCGCGUGGGUGAAGAAGGCCUUCGGGUUGUAAAGCCCUUUUGUUGGGAAAGAAAAGCAGCAGGUUAAUACCCCGCUGUUCUGACGGUACCCAAAGAAUAAGCACCGGCUAACUUCGUG